CCUACGGGGGGCAGCAGUGGGGAAUAUUGGACAAUGGGGGGAACCCUGAUCCAGCCAUGCCGCGUGUGUGAAGAAGGCCCUCGGGUUGUAAAGCACUUUCAGUGAGGAAGAACGCCUGGUGGUUAAUACCCAUCAGGAAAGACAUCACUCACAGAAGAAGCACCGGCUAACUCCGUGCCAGCAGCCGCGGUAAUACGGAGGGUGCGAGCGUUAAUCGGAAUUACUGGGCGUAAAGCGCGCGUAGGUGGCUUGAUAAGCCGGUUGUGAAAGCCCCGGGCUCAACCUGGGAACGGCAUCCGGAACUGUCAAGCUAGAGUGCAGGAGAGGAAGGUAGAAUUCCCGGUGGAGCGGUGAAAUGCGUAGAGAUCGGGAGGAAUACCAGUGGCGAAGGCGGCCUUCUGGACUGACACUGACACUGAGGUGCGAAAGCGUGGGUAGCAAACCGGAUUAGAUACCCGAGUAGUC
rnacentral:rRNA from 1 species